rnacentral:rRNA from 1 species
GAAGAAGCGAAAGUGACGGUACCUGCAGAAGAAGCACCGGCCAACUACGUGCCAGCAGCCGCGGUAAUACGUAGGGUGCAAGCGUUGUCCGGAAUUAUUGGGCGUAAAGAGCUCGUAGGCGGUUCGUCGCGUCGGCUGUGAAAACCUGAGGCUCAACCUCAGGCCUGCAGUCGAUACGGGCGGACUGGAGUUCGGCAGGGGAGACUGGAAUUCCUGGUGUAGCGGUGAAAUGCGCAGAUAUCAGGAGGAACACCGAUGGCGAAGGCAGGUCUCUGGGCUGUUACUGACGCUGAGGAGCGAAAGCAUGGGGAGCGAACAGGAUUAGAUACCCUGGUAGUCCAUGCCGUAAACGUUGGGCACUAGGUGUGGGGGACAUUCCACGUUCUCCGCGCCGUAGCUAACGCAUUAAGUGCCCCGCCUGGGGAGUACGGCCGCAAGGCUAAAACUCAAAGGAAUUGACGGGGGCCCGCACAAGCGGCGGAGCAUGCGGAUUAAUUCGAUGCAACGCGAAGAACCUUACCAAGGCUUGACAUUCACCGGACCGCCUCAGAGAUGGGGUUUCCCUUCGGGGUCGGUGGACAGGUGGUGCAUGGUUGUCGUCAGCUCGUGUCGUGAGAUGU